rnacentral:rRNA from 1 species
CAGUCGCCACGGGAAUACGAAGGGUGCAAGCGUUACUCGGAAUUACUGGGCGUAAAGCGUGCGUAGGUGGUGGUUUAAGUCCGUUGUGAAAGCCCUGGGCUCAACCUGGGAAUUGCAGUGGAUACUGGAUCACUAGAGUGUGGUAGAGGAUAGUGGAAUUUCCGGUGUAGCAGUGAAAUGCGUAGAGAUCGGAAGGAACAUCUGUGGCGAAGGCGACUAUCUGGGCCAACACUGACACUGAGGCACGAAAGCGUGGGGAGCAAACAGGAUUAGAUACCCGCGUAGUCCCUGUCUCUUAUAC